AAAACGGUAAUGUGCGCAUAUGCAAUGUUGGGUACUAUUCUCCAACUUAACGUUGAGUAGUUUGUACCUAACGUUGGAUGAAAAUAAUUGAACCCUAUAGCGAGCUUUGUUGAUGGUGGUUUUGCUCGUUUUAUUUACUUCGUGAUUAGUUUUUUCCGCGGUGGCAUUUCGUUCGCGGUUUCGUUUAUGAACCAUUGACUGUUCGAUGUCGAAUGUUCGAAAUUGGACUGCAGUGUUACGUAUAAACAGCAGAAAAUGGAACAACAGCAUCAAUCUUCUUAUGACUUAGAUGGAUCAUCGAGACUACCAGACAUUUUCUUACCGACCCGUGAUAGCUAAUCAGGAAGCUCAAUAGUAUGCCAAACUGUGGGACUACUGCGGAUCGAAUCCCGAGAAGUCCGAUGCCUUCCAGCAUCACUUGCUUGUGUACAACGCUUCCGAUCGUCACUAGGUCACUCUCUGUUUGCUAGAUCAGCUGGACGAUCGAUAACAUGAUAGAUACCCAACAAACAUUUUUGUUUAAGAAUAGCUUAUACAUUUAUUUUACAGCUAAUACCCAUGGAACAAGUGCUUGAUAGGCUAUUAUACAACAGAAAUAUUCCUUGGGUAUUCAGAACAGAACUAUUCCGAUGCAAUCAAGCUUGUCACAGCCGGUUGCAUCUGUUUCGGGUUUACAACCACUCCAAUGUAGUGCAGGUGAUGGUGAACAAUGUUUAAUAGCAUCUUAGAUCAGAUUACCUUGGAUUAACUCGAACAUAAACGAUUCGCUUGUACAGCGUUGAUCAGCAUCAAAUUUCACUGUCGAAAUUUAUCGUUCAAAAGAUCACUCGUUACUCAAAACUAUAUAUAGUCACAUUUACAAAAUAAAUUUAACUAUCUUACGA